GACGAACGCUGGCGGCGUGCUUAACACAUGCAAGUCGAACGGUGAAGCGCCUUCCUUUUUGGUGGGUGUGGAUGCGUGGCGAACGGGUGAGUAACACGUGAGUAACCUGCCCCCUUCUUCUGGAUAACCGCAUGAAAGUGUGGCUAAUACGGGAUAUUCUGGGUCUGUCGCAUGAUGGGUCUGGGAAAGAUAUUGUUUCGGUGGGGGAUGGGCUCGCGGCCUAUCAGCUUGUUGGUGGGGUGAUGGCCUAACAAGGCGGUGACGGGUAGCCGGCCUGAGAGGGCGGACGGUCUGAGAGGGACUGAGAGACCGCACAGACUCAGACGGGAGGAAGAAGUAGGGAAUAGUGAACAAUGGGCGCAAGCCUGAUGCAGCGCGGCCGCGUGAGGGAGGGAGGCCGUUGGGUUGUGAACCUCGUACGACAGGGAAGCAUGCGUGACUGGUAUGUUGAUGGGUUGACGGUAGCUGGAUAAGAAGCGCCGGCUAACUACGUG
rnacentral:rRNA from 1 species